UACGUAGGGUGCAAGCGUUGUCCGGAAUUAUUGGGCGUAAAGAGCUCGUAGGCGGUCUGUCACGUCGGCUGUGAAAUCCCGAGGCUCAACCUCGGGUCUGCAGUCGAUACGGGCAAACUAGAGUAUUGCAGGGGAGACUGGAAUUCCUGGUGUAGCGGUGAAAUGCGCAGAUAUCAGGAGGAACACCGGUGGCGAAGGCGGGUCUCUGGGCAGUAACUGACGCUGAGGAGCGAAAGCGUGAGGAGCGAACAGG
rnacentral:rRNA from 1 species